rnacentral:rRNA from 1 species
UGGCGGCAUGCCUUACACAUGCAAGUCAACGGCAGGCACGGGAGCAAUCCUGGUGGCGAGUGGCGAACGGGUGAGUAAUAUAUCGGAACGUGCCCAGUCGUGGGGGAUAACGUAGCGAAAGCUACGCUAAUACCGCAUACGAUCUAUGGAUGAAAGCGGGGGAUCGCAAGACCUCGCGCGAUUGGAGCGGCCGAUAUCAGAUUAGGUAGUUGGUGAGGUAAAGGCUCACCAAGCCGACGAUCUGUAGCUGGUCUGAGAGGACGACCAGCCACACUGGGACUGAGACACGGCCCAGACUCCUACGGGAGGCAGCAGUGGGAAUUUUGGACAAUGGGCGCAAGCCUGAUCCAGCAAUGCCGCGUGCAGGAUGAAGGCCUUCGGGUUGUAAACUGCUUUUGUACGGAACGAAACGGUGAGCUCUAAUACAGUUUGCUAAUGACGGUACCGUAAGAAUAAGCACCGGCUAACUACGUG